rnacentral:rRNA from 1 species
GACGAACGCUGGCGGUAUGCUUAACACAUGCAAGUCGAACGAGAAGAUUUUAAUUGAACCUUCGGGGGAUAUUAAAAUUGGAAAGUGGCGAACGGGUGAGUAACGCGUGGGUAACCUACCCUAUGGAAAGGAAUAGCCUCGGGAAACUGGGAGUAAUGCCUUAUAUUAUGGAAAGAUCGCAUGAUUUUUUCAUGAAAACUCCGGUGCCAUAGGAUGGACCCGCGUCUCAUUAGCUAGUUGGUGAGAUACCAGCCCACCAAGGCGACGAUGGGUAACCGGUCUGAGAGGGCGAACGGUCACACUGGAACUGAGACACGGUCCAGACUCCUACGGGAGGCAGCAGUGGGGAAUAUUGCGCAAUGGGGGAAACCCUGACGCAGCAAUACCGCGUGAGUGAGGAAGGUUUUCGGAUUGUAAAGCUCUGUUGAUAGGGAAGAAAAAUGACGGUACCUGACGAGGAAGCCCCGGCUAACUACGUGCCAGCCGCCGCAGUAACAC